AACGAACGCUGGCGGCGCGCCUAAUACAUGCAAGUCGAACGCAGUGCCUUUGCUUCGGUAGGGGCAGCUGAGUGGCGGACGGGUGCGUAACACGUAGGAACCUGCCCCAGAGAGGGGGAUAACCGUUGGAAACGACGGAUAAUCCCGCAUACGCUCCUUCGGGAGAAAAGCUACGGCGCUCUGGGAUGGGCCUGCGGCCUAUCAGGUAGUUGGUGGGGUAAUGGCCUACCAAGCCUACGACGGGUAGGGGGCGUGAGAGCGUGGCCCC
rnacentral:rRNA from 1 species